rnacentral:tRNA from 1 species
GGGCGGUUGGCUCAGUUGGUAGAGCAGUUGACUUUUAAUCAAUUGGUCGCAGGUUCGAAUCCUGCACGACCCACCA